UCACUUGCAGAGAAAUCAAAA
ensembl:piRNA 21ur-291 ncRNA